rnacentral:rRNA from 1 species
GACGAACGCUGGCGGCGUGCCUAAUACAUGCAAGUUGAGCGCUGAAGGUUGGUACUUGUACCAACUGGAUGAGCAGCGAACGGGUGAGUAACGCGUGGGCAAUCUGCCUUUGAGCGGGGGACAACAUUUGGAAACGAAUGCUAAUACCGCAUAAAAACUUUAAACACAAGUUUUAAGUUUGAAAGAUGCAAUUGCAUCACUCAAAGAUGAUCCCGCGUUGUAUUAGCUAGUUGGUGAGGUAAAGGCUCACCAAGGCGAUGAUACAUAGCCGACCUGAGAGGGUGAUCGGCCACAUUGGGACUGAGACACGGCCCAAACUCCUACGGGAGGCAGCAGUAGGGAAUCUUCGGCAAUGGACGAAAGUCUGACCGAGCAACGCCGCGUGAGUGAAGAAGGUUUUCGGAUCGUAAAACUCUGUUGGUAGAGAAGAACGUUGGUGAGAGUGGAAAGCUCAUCAAGUGACGGUAACUACCCAGAAAGGGACGGCUAACUACGUG